UUGGCAGCAACUCCCUCCACCUUCUACAAAAAAUGCCUCGUUUCGAAACACUGGAUGGUAGCAGUUUGAUGUCUGUCCUGCUGUAGCCAUGCAGGGACUCGGCCAGGGAGUAGCAGUCCAUGCACCUCAGAAUAGUUGGGGAUAGAGUCCCUUUGGGAAGCCGAUGUGUAUUCCCAUGCACCCUUGCUGUGAGUCCAUUCACCCGAAAGAGGAAGACCUAGGAACAGACUUGUACGCCACUAUGGAGGUACACCAUAGUGCUCCUCUCCCGCACAACUUCCUUGUGCUUGUGGUUGACUCCACACGUUUCACUGGUGUUCAUGAAGGCAUGCACCUGUCCCAGCAGUACCAUAUCCAGCUCCUCCUUCUCAAGCUCGGAACAGUCUCGUCGAGAAUCUGUCACUUGCAUCUCGCUGAAUUUUGACACACAAGCUCUACCGCAGUACAUGGCACUCGACGAUGCUGAGGUGCGUGUGGAGGAGUUGUAGGGCCAUCUGAGUCCAAACUACUGCCAUCUACAUUGAAUAAGAGGUGAUGGUGGCGUGGGACUGUCGGGGGGUGAUGGUGACAUGGGACUGUAUGAGCCAAAGGAGCCAAAAGAAACAUCUGAAGAGAAGAUAAUAGUUUAGAUAGGUCUAUGUAAAUGUAUUAGUAUAGGUAGCUGUUU